AUUGAACGCUGGCGGAAUGCUUUACACAUGCAAGUCGAACGGUAGAGGGGGCAACCCCUUGAGAGUGGCGAACGGGUGAGUAAUAUAUCGGAACGUGCCCCAGGUCGUGGGGGAUAACGUAGCGAAAGUUACGCUAAUACCGCAUACGAUCUACGGAUGAAAGCGGGGGGACUCGCAAGAGCCUCGCGCGAUUGGAGCGGCCGAUAUCAGAUUAGGUAGUUGGUGGGGUAAAGGCUCACCAAGCCAACGAUCUGUAGCUGGUCUGAGAGGACGACCAGCCACACUGGAACUGAGACACGGUCCAGACUCCUACGGGAGGCAGCAGUGGGGAAUUUUGGACCAAGUGGACGCAAGUCUGAUCCAGCAUUCCGCGUGCAGGAUGAAGG
rnacentral:rRNA from 1 species